rnacentral:rRNA from 1 species
GACGUAGGGCGCGAGCGUUGUCCGGAUUUAUUGGGCGUAAAGAGCUCGUAGGCGGCUUGUCGCGUCGUUCGUGAAAACCUGCAGCUCAACUGCAGGCUUGCGGUCGAUACGGGCAGGCUAGAGUUCGGUAGGGGAGACUGGAAUUCCUGGUGUAGCGGUGAAAUGCGUAGAGAUCUGGAAGAACACCAAAGGCGAAGGCAGCGUCCUGGGAAGCAUCUGACGCUCAGGUGCGAAAGCUAGGGGAGCGAACGGG